AUGUAUUUUAUCCUCCAUGCUGCCAAAGGCCAAUGAUUUGCAGCUGGGUGUGAAAAUAACAUUUGACUCUGCCUGCAACAUGGCUGCAAGGAAGGGGAGCAACGGGCUGUGCACUUGUUUAUACAAGAAAGAUAAGAAGAAUUACUUUGAUUUGACAGCAUGCUGGAGACUGAUACCAGUGUGCCCAAGGAAGUACUUUAAAGUCAGAAUUUCAGACACACAACUUGCUGGUCAUUGCCUGAGUAAGAGAACAGAGCAUCCUCUUUGUUCUGCUCUGUGACUGAUUGGGCUGUGCCUCACGUGUGAAAAUGGAACAUUGAUGAUGAUGAUGAUGAUGAUGAGCUGUGCACUGUGCUUGUGAGCACAGCUCAGCUCACUGCACCUACCACCCCUGUGUGUCCCAACCCAUGAUGAAAAUGGAUGCAGAGGAUUCAGAGGGUAAAUGGCAGUGCUGCUCAUACACAGAGAUAUCCACAGUACAGCUACAACUAGGCAUCUUUGUUCUUCUCUGCCACUACAAAGAGAUGUUUAUUUGAUCUCAAGAAUGUGGAGGAACCUUCAGCAACAAUCUGGUUUAAUUUGGUGAGCAAUUUGAGAAUAUUUUCAAUAUCUUGAAGAGCUGUGAAUGAGCUAUCUUCCUCAGACUACCCAAAUACAAAAAAACAGCUGGAAAAAUCAAUCAAGUGUAACUCUUUCUUUAAUUAUCUUUAAUGAGAAUUAACUGUUACUCCAGAUACAGGCAGAGACUUGCAGAGAAAAAUUUAUGGUUAUUUAACAGCUUCAAAACAGCAGUGGUUCUUAUUGGAAUCAGUUCCAGAAGAUCCAAGAAUAGCCAGCGUCAGUUGGCUUUUAUCUGAAUUUAUUUACAUUGAAAA